rnacentral:rRNA from 1 species
GACGAACGCUGGCGGCGUGCCUAACACAUGCAAGUCGAACGGAAAGGCCCUGCUCUUGUGCGGUGCUCGAGUGGCGAACGCGUGAGUAACACGUGUGUAACCUCCCCCUGACUUUGGGAUAACUCCAGGAAACUGGGGCUAUUACCGGAUAUGAUCUCCUGCUGCAUGGUGUGGGUUGGAAAGUUUCGGCCGUUGGGGCUGGACUCGCUGCUUAUCGGCUUGUUUGUGUGGUAGUGGCUUACCAAGGCUUCGACGGGUAGCCGGCCUGAGAGGGUGACCGGGGACAAUGGGACUGAGAGACGGACCAGAAGCGAACGGGAGGCAGCGGGGGGGAAUAUGGCAGAGUGAGGGGAAGCGUGAUGCAGCAGCGCCGCGUGCGGGAUAACGGGCUUCGGGUUAAAAACCAAUUUGGCCUGUGACGAGGCGUGAGUGACGGUAAUGGGUAAAAAAGCACCGGCUAACUACGUG